GAGCAUUGUGGGUUGUGUGUAGUUUAUAUGCAGAAAAAUGGGGCUAUUCCAUGGCUGAAAACAUGGUAACGUGAAAAACACAGUCAAGAAGAACGUAGUUGAAUGAAAGAGUACAUUAAUACCGUGGGGAUUAAUGAUUUUGGAUAUUAAAGUGUCUGGACUGGUUCAGAUGCGUCUUUGUCAUUUCUUUCCUGUGAAAAAAAUUGGAAUUCGCGGAAAGUAAUCUAACUUUUGAAUGCUGUGCAGUGGAAUAUCCGAAGACUUGUGCUAAACCUGCUUCGAAACUGUUUAUCUCGGGAAAAUGGAGAAGGGAGUUUUAUUGCGAAGGAUGAACGGACACGGAUAUACUUCCAAUCAGAAGACACGAACAAGUUUGUACUGUGCGUUUUUGGGGUUAUAUUUUUAAGAAGGCGGACUGUGUGAUAAAUUAUGGUGAGUUUUUUCAAGUACUUUGAUAGAGAAAAUUCAUGUUUUAAUGUUUGAAAGACUUGGGUUGUCUAAAAAGAAACAGCCUUUUGACUAUUCUUUUGAAGAGACUGUAAUCCGUGCAGUAGAGGUCACAUUUUGUCAAUGAGACCAAACUUGUUCGCAGAUAAAGGUUAUUGUAUCUACGAAACAGAAGUUAUUUUAGCUGCUCUCAGUUUGAAUUUUAAACUAAACGGCCGGGACGGAGUUACAGGAAGCUGGGCUCUAAUAGUGGUGAUUGACAUUUUCAGUCGCCCUCUCGUGGUUGAGGAAGGAAAAGCUGGCGUGAAAGCAAGCUUCGAGCCGAAAGGCGAAGCCUGACUCGUGAUCAAACGUCUCGGGCGGACGUCAACUAAGAGUACUGUGGUGGUUUCAAUCUCAACGGAAAACAGAUGGCAGCCGAGAACGCACUUUCGAUGUCGACUGCGUUUUGUGCUCUUUCAUUGACUUCUCCAAGCGGCUGGGUUAUUUUAGGAGUCGUUGGUUUAGUUUGUGUAACUGUUGUAGCAGUAACUGCUGUGAAGGAGCAUGGACGAACAAAAAGAGAGAGGAAACAAAACUGAUCACACUCAAAUACUUGUUGACAUACAAUUUUGAUGCAAGUGGUGUUCCGUGUAACAGAUGUUUUUCUCUCUCAGAAUAUUUUGUAUUUUGUUGUUUAAGUAGUAAUGUUCAUGAACGAUGCAAAAUUA